GUCUUGGAACAGCGUUUAUCUCUGGCGGAGCUCCAGAGUCCUCUCUUACCAUGUCUGGCUGGCGGCGACCCAGAUGCCACGUGAUGGCCAUUUGAAGACAGGCUUGUCGGACAUCAGGACCUACACCCCUCCUCUCGACACUGCCCCUCACCGGUGGCCUCUGGCAGGCACAGCACGCCGUCACCCUGCACCCAGCGAUAGCACGGGAACGCGGCCUCCUCGCAGGCUCCAGGGCCCUGCACCGUGAUGCGGUCGCAGAACCACGCGUCGUCCACCAGGGAGUGGUGUUUGCGCAACUUCACGAACUGCAAAGGCCCCAGGUCCCCCGGAACUUCGUGCUCAAACUCCUCCUUCUGUGGGACCAAAACCCAGAGACAGUAGCAGGGU